GACGAACGCUGGCGGCGUGCUUAACACAUGCAAGUCGAACGGAAAGGCCCUGCUUUUGUGGGGUGCUCGAGUGGCGAACGGGUGAGUAACACGUGAGUAACCUGCCCUUGACUUUGGGAUAACUUCAGGAAACUGGGGCUAAUACCGGAUAGGAGCUCCUGUUGCAUGGUGGGGGUUGGAAAGUUUCGGCGGUUGGGGAUGGACUCGCGGCUUAUCAGCUUGUUGGUGGGGUAGUGGCUUACCAAGGAUUUGACGGGUAGCCGGCCUGGGAGGGUGACCGGCCACAUUGGGACUGGGGUACGGCCCAGACUCCUACGUGAGGCAGCAGUGGGGAAUAUUGCACAAUGGGCGGAAGCCUGAUGCAGCAACGCCGCGUGCGGGAUGACGGCCUUCGGGUUGUAAACCGCUUUCGCCUGUGACGAAGCGUGAGUGACGGUAAUGGGUAAAGAAGCACCGGCUAACUACGU
rnacentral:rRNA from 1 species